CCUACGGGUGGCAGCAGUGGGGGAUAUUGCACAAUGGAGGAAACUCUGAUGCAGCGACGCCGCGUGAGGGAAGACGGUUUUCGGGUUGUAAACCUCUUUUUUUGGGGAAGAAAAUGACGGUACCCAACGAGUAAUCCCCGGCUACCUCCGUGCCAGCAGCCGCGGUACUACGCAGGGAGCGGGCGUUGUCCGGAUUCACUGGGUGAAAGGGGAGGGAAGGCGGGUGGGAAGGUCGAGGGUAAAAUCUACGGGCUAAACUGGUAGCUGCAGUCAAAACUUGUUGUCUUGAGUGAAGGAGAGGCAGGCGGAAUUCCUGGUGUAGCGGUGAAAUGCGUAGAGAUUAGGAGGAACACCAAUGGCGAAGGCGGCCUGCUGGGCUAUAACUGACGCUGAGGCUCGAAAGCGUGGGGAGCAAACAGGAUUAGAUACCCGAGUAGUC
rnacentral:rRNA from 1 species